GAACCGGUUCCGGGUUCAAAAAACCCGUCGGUUCCAACCCGGUUCCACAUUUUAUAAAUAAAAUCGGUUCGUACCCGGACCCGGUUCCUACCCGUAGGUUCGUACCCGGUUCCUACCCGGACCAAAACCAGCAUCAGCGUGACGGUAGAGACGUUGGGAUAAAUACAAAAGAGUGAAAUUACAUAGGUUGUAGCUUUUUCCGGUAGCCGGAGUUGACGUCUGCAAGUUUUGUUUGAGGUGAGAUAUGGCGAUGCAGAGCAAAAUAAAGGAGAUGGUUCAUUACAGUGUUUUCAAGACUGAGAUUAGUUUACUAGCUUAGGCUAGGGUAACAGUUGUUUACACAAUGACAACCUUUAGUACUUGUGGCCGAGUUUUAUCUUUUGUUUUUUUUAAUAUUUUCUGUCUUUAGAUUACAUUAUCAUAUAUUCUAUUAAAUAUAUAAUGUAAAUGUACUUACCCAUAUACCAGACGCCAUGGAAGAACACAAGAUAACUAAAACUAAGAAGAAAGCCAUUUGAUGAGUUAAUCAGGUUCGUAAUUUGAUAACACAUAAAAGAUGAAUGAAACGCGGGUAGGAACUGGUUCCUACAGUAUUUUUAAUGGUUAAAACCCGGGAACUGGAACCGGUUACACCAAGAACUGGUUCCAUUGACACUCAUUCAAGAACCGGGUAAGGUUUGGAACCGUUUCCGGUUAUUAAAAAGAACCGGAUAUGCCCAUCUCUAUCGAGAACCAAGAUAAUGAUUUUACUUAAGACUUGCAUAAUUUUAGUUGAAAUUAGUGAAAUCAACAAGCUUACGGCCCCAAGAGGGGAUUGAAAUUCAACCAACUACCGUCUAUUCAAUGCACAUAUCCUCCUAAACAUUUUUCCUUAGGUAACUAUUCUGAUAAAUAAUGUUUUGGGAUCAUAUCCAUCAGAUUAAUUAUUUAUAA
rnacentral:lncRNA from 1 species